rnacentral:tRNA from 1 species
GGGGGUGUAGCUCAACGGGAGAGCGUCCCCUUGGCGUGGGGAAGGUUGUGGGUUCAAAUCCCAUCACCUCCA